rnacentral:rRNA from 1 species
GAUGAACGCUGGCGGCGUGCUUAACACACGCAAGUCGAGCGAGUGAGUUCUUCGGAACGAUCUAGCGGCGGACGGGUGAGUAACACGUGGGCAACCUGCCUCAUAGAGGGGAAUAGCCUCCCGAAAGGGAGAUUAAUACCGCAUAAAAUUAUCGAGUGGCAUCACAUGAUAAUCAAAGGAGUAAUCCGCUAUGAGAUGGGCCCGCGGCGCAUUAGCUAGUUGGUGAGGUAACGGCUCACCAAGGCGACGAUGCGUAGCCGACCUGAGAGGGUGAUCGGCGACAUUGGGACUGAGACACGGCCCAGACUCCUACGGGAGGCAGCAGUGGGGAAUAUUGCACAAUGGGGGAAACCCUGAUGCAGCAACGCCGCGUGAGUGAUGAAGGUCUUCGGAUUGUAAAGCUCUGUCUUUGGGGACGAUAAUGACGGUACCCAAGGAGGAAGCCACGGCUAACUACGUGCCAGCCGCCGCGGUAA